AUGCCGCGUGCAGGAAGACUGCCCUAUGGGUUGUAAACUGCUUUUAUACGGGAAGAAACACCCCCNCGUGNGGGGGCUUGACGGUACCGUANGAAUAAGGAUCGGCUAACUCCGUGCCAGCAGCCGCGGUAAUACGGAGGAUCCAAGCGUUAUCCGGAAUCAUUGGGUUUAAAGGGUCCGUAGGCGGGUNCNUAAGUCAGUGGUGAAAGUCUGCNGCUCAACUGUAGAANUGCCAUUGAUACUGCANACCUUGAGUAAUUAUGAAGUGGUUAGAAUAUGUAGUGUAGCGGUGAAAUGCAUAGAUAUUACAUAGAAUACCGAUUGCGAAGGCAGAUCACUAAUAAUUUACUGACGCUGAUGGACGAAAGCGUAGGUAGCGAACAGGAUUAGAUACCCUGGUAGUCUACGCCGUAAACGAUGGUUACUAGCUGUUUGG
rnacentral:rRNA from 1 species